GUUUGUUUUGGCAGUACAUUUACUAAAAUUGAACGAUACAGAAAAGGUUAGCAUGGCCCCUGAGCAAAGAUGACACGCAAAUCCAUGAAGCAUUCCAUAUCUUU